GUGCUCUCUUCGGUAGCACACAUACUAAAAUUGGAGUGAUACAAAGAUGAUUAGCAUGGCACCUGAGCAAGGAUGACAUGCAAAUUCAUGAAGCAGUCCAUAUUUUA